rnacentral:lncRNA from 1 species
UGUCUGUUCGUGCUGUGUACUUUUGCUUCCAUCUACUGUGUGACUUGAGAAACUCAUUGCUUCAUUGAUCUGAACGCUGAGAGAUUUGCAUUUGGUAAUAAGCUAAGUGGCAGAAAAAAGAACUCUGCAAUGUGAAGAUGACGCUAUGCUGAAGGCUAUCAAGAUCCUGUCAUUCCUGGAGGUGGCCAAAUCCAAGGCAGCACAGACAAGGUGGAGGACUGAGUAAAGAGAAAAAAGCAGCAGCGGGAAGACAGACAUGUGGAAGGUAUACCACUUUGCUUUUUUUCCUAAAUCAUCUUGGAUUA